rnacentral:rRNA from 1 species
AGAGUUUGAUCCUGGCUCAGAACGAACGCUGGCGGCGCGUUUUAAGCAUGCAAGUCGAGCGGCAAGGGUACUUCGGUACCCCUAGAGCGGCGGACGGGUGAGUAACACGUGGAUAACCUGCCCCCAGGUGCGGGAUAGCCCAGGGAAACCUGGAUUAAUACCUCGUAAGACCACGCUCUGUAGGGAGAGUGGGAAAAGGCGCUUCGGCGUCGCCUGGGGAUGGGUCCGCGUCCCAUUAGCUAGAUGGUAGGGUAAGAGCCUACCAUGGCGACGAUGGGUAGCCGGCCUGAGAGGGUGAACGGCCACACUGGAACUGAGACACGGUCCAGACUCCUACGGGAGGCAGCAGCUAAGAAUCUUCCGCAAUGGGCGCAAGCCUGACGGAGCGACGCCGCGUGGGCGAGGAAGGCCGCAAGGUUGUAAAGUCCUUUUCGGGAAGGGGAAUAAGAGUGAUAGGCAAUGAUCACUUGAUGACAUGAAUCCCGGAAUAAGCCCCGGCUAACUACGUGCCAGCAGCCGCGGUAACACGUAGGGGGCGAGCGUUGUUCGGAAUCAUUGGGCGUAAAGGGCGCGCAGGCGGCGUGUAAAGUCUGGCGCGGAAGUCCCCGGCUCAACUGGGGGAUUGCGUUGGAAACUGGCACGCUUGAGUACGACAGGGGAUGGCGGAAUUCCAGGUGUAGGGGUGAAAUCUGUAGAUAUCUGGAGGAACACCAAUGGCGAAGGCAGCCAUCUGGAUCAGUACUGACGCUGAGGCGCGAAGGUGCGGGGAGCAAACAGGUUUAGAUACCCUGGUAGUCCGCACAGUAAAC